rnacentral:rRNA from 1 species
UACAGAGGUCUCAAGCGUUGUUCGGAUUCAUUGGGCGUAAAGGGUGCGUAGGCGGCGCGGUAAGUCGGGUGUGAAAUCUCGGAGCUUAACUCCGAAACUGCAUUCGAUACUGCCGUGCUUGAGGACUGGAGAGGAGACUGGAAUUUACGGUGUAGCGGUGAAAUGCGUAGAUAUCGUAAGGAAGACCAGUGGCGAAGGCGGCUCACUGGACUGGUACUGACGCUGAGGCGCGAAAGCGUGGGGAGCAAACAGG